GACGAACGCUGGCGGCGUGCUUAACACAUGCAAGUCGAACGGAAAGGCCCUGCUUUUGUGGGGUGCUCGAGUGGCGAACGGGUGAGUAACACGUGAGUAACCUGCCCUUGACUUUGGGAUAACUUCAGGAAACUGGGGCUAAUACCGGAUAGGAGCUCCUGCUGCAUGGUGGGGGUUGGUAAGUUUCGGCGGUUGGGGAUGGACUCGCGGCUUAUCAGCUUGUUGGUGGGGUAGUGGCUUACCAAGGCUUUGACGGGUAGCCGGCCUGAGAGGGUGACCGGGCACAUGAGGACUGAGAGACGGCCCAGAAUCCUACGGGAGGCAGCAGUGGAGAGUAUUACACAGUGGGGGGAAGCCUGAGGCGGAAGCGCCGCGUGCGGGAUAACGGCCUUCGGGUGAUAAACCGCUUUGGCCUGUAACGAAGCGUGAGUGACGGUAAUGGGUAAGGAAGCACCGGCUAACUACGUG
rnacentral:rRNA from 1 species